CCUACGGGAGGCUGCAGUGGGGAAUAUUGGACAAUGGGGGGAACCCUGAUCCAGCCAUGCCGCGUGUGUGAAGAAGGCCCUCGGGUUGUAAAGCACUUUCAGUGAGGAAGAACGCCUGGUGGUUAAUACCCAUCAGGAAAGACAUCACUCACAGAAGAAGCACCGGCUAACUCCGGUGCCAGCAGCCGCGGUAAUACGGAGGGUGCGAGCGUUAAUCGGAAUUACUGGGCGUAAAGCGCGCGUAGGUGGCUUGAUAAGCCGGUUGUGAAAGCCCCGGGCUCAACCUGGGAACGGCAUCCGGUACUGUCAAGCUAGAGUGCAGGAGAGGAAGGUAGAAUUCCCGGUGUAGCGGUGAAAUGCGUAGAGAUCGGGAGGAAUACCAGUGGCGAAGGCGGCCUUCUGGACUGACACUGACACUGAGGUGCGAAAGCGUGGGUAGCAAACAGGAUUAGAUACCCCUGUAGUC
rnacentral:rRNA from 1 species